AUAAUCUUUAAUUGGAGUUCCAAUCUGUUUGGGUUUUGGAUUACAAUUUUUCUUCUAUUUUUAUAAAAAAAUCUUUUGGUCACUCUUUUUAUCAAACAAGGAAUCGUCACCGCAAGCCCUCAAACAUCUCGCCUCGUCCGUCCUUUUCAGAAAAAAGAAUUGUCGCUUGCAGCCCUCGCCUGGCGCUGCAUCUCGUUGCUCUUGGUUCUCCCCUUCGUCGCUAUCAGACCACUCUGAUUGCAUGAUGAUGAGGUGACAAAGAAGGAUCAUGUGGCAGCUGGGCUUUGUUGCAUACAAUUGUUUAUGAAUUCUUCUUCUCAGGAAGAAGCUAUAAGAUACUUGGAGAACGCCAAGGUCAG